AAGAAUGCAGAGAACUCUCUAGCCCAUGGGCCAAGUCACACAGCAGCAAUAGGAAACACAUACAGUGGGUGAGGAACAGAGAUGGGAAGCUUGGAUUCAUGGAUUCAUUGAACAUCUGAAGGUAUCUUUGGAUGAUUCAUCUUAGAAAAAAUCCUCUAGGGAAAGGAAAGCCUCUUGUGUGAACACAAAUCUUGGUUCAGAUGCUUCUGAUGAGGAGAAGCCGACAUCAUCAUACCUCCACCCUCCCAUCUCUUUCCAUUGGCAUGGAUCUGACUGCUGCAAGCAUAUCACAGAUUCUACCUGCACUCAAGAGAAGAGGAUUACCACAGAACCAUUGCUUCUCCAACAAUUGAAACUUAUUUACACUCACGCCACUAGCUUUGCUUGGCUCUACAGGGACAAGUCUUCUGCCAGUGAUUGCAGAUGUCACCCUCAAGAGUGAUAUUUUAUUUUUCACUUCAUU